GUUAUAGGGUCAAGCGAACAAGUGCAUGUGGUGGAUGCCUUGGCGAUCACAGGCGAUGAAGGACGCGGUAGCCUGCGAAAAGCUUCGGGGAGCUGGCAAACAAGCUUUGAUCCGGAGAUGUCCGAAUGGGGAAACCCGGCCCGMAUGGGUCAUCCCUUGCUGAAUACAUAGGCAAGGGAAGCGAACGCGGCGAACUGAAACAUCUAAGUAGCUGCAGGAACAGAAAUCAACCGAGAUUCCCAGAGUAGUGGCGAACGAAAUGGGAAGAGCCUUGCACUCUUUAGCAGAACUGUUAGCAAAACGGGAUGGAAAGCCCGGCCAUAGCAGGUGAUAGCCCUGUAUGCGAAAACAGAUUUGUGGAACUAGGUGUGCGACAAGUAGGGCGGGACACGUGAAAUCCUGUCUGAAGAUGGGGGGACCAUCCUCCAAGGCUAAAUACUCGUGAUCGACCG
rnacentral:rRNA from 1 species